ensembl:snoRNA
UUGGCCCUGAAUCAAGGCCAGCAUUUUGAUGGAGCUUUUGGUUUCAGCAAGAGCCUAAAGAAAUGUCUUCGUAUGGUCUGUUGACCAUUUCAGAACUUUGGAAAUGUCAAUUCAUUAGAAAGAAACAUCU